rnacentral:rRNA from 1 species
AUUGAACGCUGGCGGCAGGCCUAACACAUGCAAGUCGAGCGGGGUUUUCGGACCUAGCGGCGGACGGGUGAGUAAUGCGUAGGAAGCUACCCGAUAGAGGGGGAUACCAGUUGGAAACGACUGUUAAUACCGCAUAAUGUCUACGGACCAAAGUGUGGGACCUUCGGGCCACAUGCUAUCGGAUGCGCCUACGUGGGAUUAGCUAGUUGGUGAGGUAAUGGCUCACCAAGGCGACGAUCCCUAGCUGGUUUGAGAGGAUGAUCAGCCACACUGGAACUGAGACACGGUCCAGACUCCUACGGGAGGCAGCAGUGGGGAAUAUUGGACAAUGGGCGCAAGCCUGAUCCAGCCAUGCCGCGUGUGUGAAGAAGGCCUUCGGGUUGUAAAGCACUUUCAGUAGGGAGGAAGCGUUGUGUGUUAAUAGUACACAGCGUUGACGUUACCUACAGAAGAAGCACCGGCUAACUACGUGCCAGCCGCCGCCGUAAAAC